CAGCAGUGGGGAAUCUUGCACAAUGGGGGAAACCCUGAUGCAGCCAUGCCGCGUGGAGGAAGACACCCCUACGGGGCGUAAACUCCUUUUCUGGUGGAAGAAACCCCUGUUGUUCAGGGCGUGACGGUACACCAGGAAUAAGGACCGGCUAACUCCGUGCCAGCAGCCGCGGUAAUACGGAGGGUCCAAGCGUUGUCCGGAAUCACUGGGUGUAAAGGGUGCGCAGGCGGGGCAGCAAGUCAGUGGUGAAAGCCCGCGGCUUAACCGCGGAAGUGCCAUUGAAACUGCUGCUCUUGAGUCCCGGAGAGGCUGCCGGAAUUCGUGGUGUAGCGGUGAAAUGCGUAGAUAUCACGAGGAACACCAGAUGCGAAAGCGGGCAGCUGGACGGGUACUGACGCUCAGGCACGAAAGCGUGGGGAGCAAACAGGAUUAGA
rnacentral:rRNA from 1 species